rnacentral:rRNA from 1 species
ACUCGAGUGGCGAACGGGUGAGUAACACGUGGGUGAUCUGCCCUGCACUUCGGGAUAAGCCUGGGAAACUGGGUCUAAUACCGGAUAGGAGCCAUUUUUAGUGUGAUGGUUGAAAGUUUUUCGGUGUAGGAUGAGCUCGCGGCCUAUCAGCUUGUUGGUGGGGUAAUGGCCUACCAAGGCGGCGACGGGUAGCCGGCCUGAGAGGGUGUACGGCCACAUUGGGACUGAGAUACGGCCCAG